UACAGAGGUCCCGAGCGUUGUUCGGAUUUAUUGGGCGUAAAGGGUGCGUAGGCGGCGGAGUAAGUUGGGUGCGAAAUCCCGGGGCUUAACCUCGGAAUUGCAUUCAAUACCGCUUCGCUUGAGUACUGGAGAGGAGGCUGGAAUUUACGGUGUAGCAGUGAAAUGCGUAGAUAUCGUAAGGAAGGCCGGUGGCGAAAGCGAGCCUCUGGACAGUUACUGACGCUGAUGCACGAAGGCCAGGGGAGCAAACGGG
rnacentral:rRNA from 1 species